rnacentral:rRNA from 1 species
AAUUUUGGACAAUGGGGGCAACCCUGAUCCAGCCAUCCCGCGUGUGCGAUGAAGGCCUUCGGGUCGUAAAGCACUUUUGGCAGGGAAGAAAAGGUUCUGGCUAAUAUCUGGAAGUGCUGACGGUACCUGCAGAAUAAGCACCGGCAAACUACGUGCCAGAAGCCGCGGUAAUACGUAGGGUGCAAGCGUUAAUCGGAAUUACUGGGCGGAAAGCGUUGGCAGGCGGUUCGGCAAGAAGGAUGUGAAAUCCCGGGGCUUAACCUCGGAACUGCAUUCUUAACUGCCGGGCUAGAGUAUGUCAGAGGGGGGUAGAAUUCCACGUGUAGCAGUGAAAUGCGUAGAGAUGUGGAGGAAUACAGAUGGCGAAGGCAGCCCCCUGGGAUGAUACUGACGCUCAUGCACGAAAGCGUGGGGAGCAAACA